rnacentral:rRNA from 1 species
UACGUAGGGGGCAAGCGUUGUCCGGAAUUAUUGGGCGUAAAGGGUGCGUAGGCGGCGCGGUAAGUCGGAUGUGAAAUCUCGGAGCUUAACUCCGAAACUGCAUUCGAUACUGCCGUGCUUGAGGACUGGAGAGGAGACUGGAAUUUACGGUGUAGCGGUGAAAUGCGUAGAUAUCGUAAGGAAGACCAGUGGCGAAGGCGGGUCUCUGGACAGUUCCUGACGCUGAGGCACGAAGGCCAGGGGAGCAAACGGG